rnacentral:lncRNA from 1 species
AGAAGGGUAUCAGAUCCUCUAGAGCUGGAGCUACAGGCACUUGGCAAGGGAAAGACAGAAUCCAAAAAAACAAAAGGAAGCCUUCCAGGGAGAUGGGAUUUCUCCAGAAGCCAAGAGGAGUGUCAGGAGAGUCUGGAUACUCUGAGAAUCAAAAAAGACUCCCGCUGAAGAACUAAAAUGGGCUAUAACAAAAUAUAAAUGUGGCCCCAAAAUAGAACACACUCAGCUUGAGACACAAGGCAUUGCUAAUUAUAUGAGUCAGAUUCCCAUUGCUGAGACAAGAUACUGAAGAUAAGCAACUUGUGAAGAUUUUGGCUCAUGGUUUCAGCCCAUGGUUGCUCUGCCCUGUUGCUAUAUAUGUGAAAGAUAGAACACCAUAGCCUGGGAAAACCUGCUUAUGUCUUAGCAGCCAAGAAGCAGAAAGAAAAAAGCAUGAAGGAGAAUGAAACAUACCCUUUAAUGGCACACACAGCUAAAGUGACCUGCUUCCUCCAACUAGGUCCCUUAUGUGAAGAUCCAACAAGCUCCAAAUAAUGGUUAUGAUACAAAUCCAUAAAUGAAUCCAGUGCUGAGUGCAGCCCCCUGACCCAAUCACAUGCCCAAGACCCAACCUCUGAACACUGUUGCAUUAUGGAUCAAGACUACAACACAUGAGCCUUGGCUCCCGGAGUGGGGGGUGCAUUUCAGAUAAAACAUUUCCAGUUAACUAUUGACCUUUGACAAGGUAUUUCUCUUGUUACUCCUACUCAGAGCAUAGUCACUUGGAUAUCACUUCUGCCUCAAAGAUCAAUACACAGUCCGAGCCUAAAAAGGGGAUCCUUAAUGUUCUGACUUUUCAUAAGCAUGAAUUUGCCUGACAUUCCCACUCAGUGCUACUUAGCCAAAUGGUUUACUCAACAAUGUACAUUUGUAGCAAAUUUUAAUACUUCACAUUUCAUACUUAUUAUUUACCAAGAACAAUUUUUAGAAGCUUAAGAUACAACUUAUAUGCAAUAAGCUAUCUGUACAUAAAUGUGGUGAUACAUUAUUUAUUAUAGAUUUAAUAAAGAAGUAUCAGAAUGCAAAGCCAGCCACACUAGUUAGCUAUAGAAGCUUGAGGGUGAUGGUACACACCUUUGAUCCCAGGACUCAGAAGACAGAGGUAGACAAAUCUCUGUUAGUUCAAGACCACUAUGAGCUACACGAAACUGACCCAGUCUAAAAGAGAAACAGCUCACACAAAGGUGAUAUCAGCACUUGGGAUCCCACAUCUUUAACCGAAGGAUUUGAGAUAUAUAAAAGAAAGAAGCAAAGAGUCUCAUGAGAGAAUUUUUCUCCAGCCUCACUGAGGAGAGGCAGCAGUCUGGGUUGCAGUCUGAGGAUUGGUGGAAACAGGGUUGCAGUCUGAGGCUUGGUGGAGAGCAUGGACUCUGAGGAUUCAUGGAGACGGGAUUGACAUUUCACUCUGAGAUAGAGGAACUUCAAAAGGAGCAGCUCUUGUGAGCCUGGGGUUGAGUCCUUCUGUAACCAUGACACAUUGGAACAAAGAGACUUACCACUUCAAGAAGCUACAACUUUUAGAAGAGUGAGGAUUAGCAGUUAAUGUCACUGAAGGAGGGGAGCCCUGACCUUCUUGAAUGGAAUGACAGAUUAUGAUGCAGAAGUAUAAGGUCAAUGAGUACUGAUGAAGUCCAUAUCGGGGUAUUCUCUGAGCUCCAAAAUUAUUCAACAAUGUUCAAAACUGAGUGAGCAUUUUUACCAUAAGCUCACCAGAACUUAUUUCUGGUGUUUGGAUCCAUUGAAGCUUCAAGAAGACUGAAGCAGCGUCAGACCCAGACUUGCCAGUGAUGGAAGCCGUGAAUGCAGAUGUUAAUGGUCUUGGGUUUGAAGAGGUGGCUCUGUGGUCAAAAGCACAUGGUACUUUUGCAGAGGACCCAAGUUUGUUUGCCAACACCUACAUCAGACCUACACCUGCUCACAACCUCCUCCAAUUCCAGCUUCAGUUCCUGAAGCCACUGGGUCCCACCUGCUUGAGCUAAUUGUCCCCUCCUGGGUUUCAUUUAACCCAGGCUAGCCUUGCAACUGAAGAUAAACUUGAACUCCUGACUCUUGUGCCUCCACUUCAGGAUGCUGGAAUUCAGAUGUGCACCAUCAUGUCCCAUUCAUGUAGUGUGAAAAUUGAACACAGCACCCACAGUGUGAGCCCAAGGUCACAAUUUUCGAUGUCUUAUAGCAAGUAGCUGCCUUUCCCUGUGCUCAGCUUUGACACCGUGGCAGUCACAAGAUUCCUUCAGAGGC